GACUCACCAUGGGCGUGUCUGAGGGUGAAAGAGGAUAAAUACUGAGCAGAAGAGAAACUCGGUCUUUUCUUUCCUCUUGACUUCUUCAUUCUGCAGAAGGAGCUGAAACUGAGAGCGCUUCGUGAUCUGCUGCUCCAGGAGGAUUUGGCCAUGUAGCCACCGCUUGCAUCUUUCCUAUCUCUGGAGGAGGAUGAGGAGUUAAAACACAUCUGCCAAGGGGUGUGGCACUCGGUCCUUCUGCGCCCCGUGUCAGACGUCAUGUGGGGUGGCCACGCCCUCCCUGAGGGCACGGGACGCCCCCCUGCAGUCUGCACUCGGAGUCCAGUGGGUCUGCAGUGGACAGCGCCAGGUCUGCACUGACCUGCCAAUUAAGCCCUAGAUUCCAGAAGCAACCACAAAAAACCACGUAAAAGUUCACUUCUCGCUUCUGGUGUCUGUUGCUUGGUUGGCAGGUUCGUGGUUGGCCUGCCGUUGAACGAACAACCUUUUACUGUAGUUUCUUCAAAGCUGUACGCCAUUUUCCAACUCAAAAAAAAAAAAAUCUAUAAAAAUAGUAAAACAAUGCAACAUAA